rnacentral:rRNA from 1 species
CCGGCGACCGGCGGACGGGUGCGUAACGCGUAUGUAACCUACCUUUGACAGGGGGAUAACAUCGAGAAAUUGGUACUAAUACCCCAUAACAUCACCGGAGGCAUCUUCGGUGGUUGAAAACUCAGGUGGUCAGAGAUGGACAUGCGUUGUAUUAGCUAGUUGGUGAGGUAACGGCUCACCAAGGCGACGAUACAUAGGGGGACUGAGAGGAAGGCCCCCCACACUGGUACUGAGACACGGACCAGACUCCUACGGAAGGCAGCAG